AGCGAACGCUGGCGGCAGGCCUAACACAUGCCAGUCGAACGAACCUUUCGGGGUUAGUGGCGGACGGGUGAGUAACACGUGGGAACGUGCCUUUAGGUUCGGAAUAACUCAGGGAAACUUGUGCUAAUACCGAAUGUGCCCUUCGGGGGAAAGAUUAAUCGCCUUUAGAGCGGCCCGCGUCUGAUUAGCUAGUUGGUUGAGGUAAUGGCUCACCAAGGCGACGAUCAGUAGCUGGUCUGAGAGGAUGAUCAGCCACAUUGGGACUGAGACACGGCCCAAACUCCUACGGGAGGCAGCAGUGGGGAAUCGUGCGCAAUGGGCGAAAGCCUGACGCAGCCAUGCCGCGUGAAUGAUGAAGGUCUUAGGAUUGUAAAAUUCUUUCAACGGGGACGAUAAUGACGGUACCCGGAGAAGAAGCCCCGGCUAACUUCGUG
rnacentral:rRNA from 1 species